AACGAACGCUGGCGGCAGGCUUAACACAUGCAAGUCGAGCGCACCGCAAGGGGAGCGGCAGACGGGUGAGUAACGCGUGGGAAUCUACCCAUCUCUACGGAAUAACGCAUGGAAACGUGUGCUAAUACCGUAUACGUCCUUCGGGAGAAAGAUUUAUCGGAGAUGGAUGAGCCCGCGUUGGAUUAGCUAGUUGGUGGGGUAAAGGCCUACCAAGGCGACGAUCCAUAGCUGGUCUGAGAGGAUGAUCGGCCACACUGGGACUGAGACACGGCCCAGACUCCGACGGGAGGCAGCAGUGGGGAAUAUGGGACAAUGGGCGCAAGCCUGAUCCAGCCAUGCCGCGUGAGUGAUGAAGGCCCUAGGGUUGUAAAGCUCUUUCACCGGUGAAGAUAAUGGCGGUAACCGGAGAAGAAGCCCCGGCUAACUUCGUGCCAGCCGCCGCUGUAAAAC
rnacentral:rRNA from 1 species